UCCGGUUGAUCCUGCCGGCGGCCACCGCUAUUGGACUCCGCUUAAAACAUGCGAGUCGAGAGGGUUCGGCCCUCGGCGCACUGCUCAGUAACACGUGGAUAAUCUGCCCUCAGGAGGGGGAUACCCUCGGGAAACUGAGGAUAAUACCCCAUAGGUCAUCGAUGCUGGAAUGCACGAUGACUGAAAGCUCCGGCGCCUGAGGAUGAGUCUGCGGCCUAUCAGGUAGUAGUGGGUGUAACGGACCCACUAGCCUGCGACGGGUACGGGCGUUGGGAGACGUCGCCCGGAGAUGGAUUCUGAGACACGAAUCCAGGCCCUACGGGGCGCAGCAGUUGCGAAAACUUCACAAUGUGCGAAAGCACGAUGAGGGGAGUCCAAGUGCCUGCACUAUGUGUUGGCUGUUCACAUGCCUAAAAAGCAUGUGAAGUAAGGGCUGGGUAAGACGGGUGCCAGCCGCCGCGGUAAUACCCGCAGCCCGAGUGGUGGUCAUUAUUAUUGAGCCUAAAGCGUCCGUAGCCGGUCUGGUAAAUCUCUGGGUAAAUCGGGCAGCUUAACUGUCCGAAUUCUGGAGAGACUGUCAGACUUGGGACCGGGAGAGGUCAGAGGUACUCCAGGGGUAGGGGCUAAAUCCUGUAAUCCCUGGAGGACCACCAGUGGCGAAGGCGUCUGACUAGAACGGAUCCGACGGUGAGGGACGGAAGCCAGGGGCGCGAACCGGAUUAGAUACCCGGGUAGUCCUGGCCGUAAACGCUGCAGACUUGGUGUUGGGGGUCCUACGGGGGUACCCAGUGCCGGAGAGAAGUUGUUAAGUCUGCCGCUUGGGGAGUACGUCCGCAAGGAUGAAACUUAAAGGAAUUGGCGGGGGAGCACAGCAACGGGAGGAGCGUGCGGUUCAAUUGGAUUCAACGCCGGG
rnacentral:rRNA from 1 species